rfam:Mycosphaerella eumusae strain CBS 114824 scaffold403, whole genome shotgun sequence.
GACCCACUAGUCAAGUGGUUAAGACAUAGCGCUUUCACCGUUACAUCUCGGGUUCGAACCCCGAGUGGGUUA